GAUGAACGCUGGCGGCGUGCCUAAUACAUGCAAGUCGAGCGAACGGACGAGAAUCUUGCUUCUCUCAUGUUAGCGGCGCACGGGUGAGUAACACGUGGAUACCCUACCUAUAAGACUGAUAUCACUUCGGGAAACCGGCGCUAAUACCGGAUGAUCUCUUGAACCGCAUGGGUCAAUAGUGAAAGACGGCCUUGCUGUCACUUCUCGAUGGAUCCGCGCUGCAUUAGCUAGUUGUUAAGGUCACGGCUUACGACGGCAACGAUGCAUGGCCGACCGGAGAGGGUGAUCGGCCACACUGGAGGUGAGACACGGUCCAGGCUACUACGGGAGGCAGCAGUAGGGAACCGUCCGCAAUGGGCGGAAGUCUGACGGAGCAACGGCGAGUGAGUGAUGAAGGUCUUCGGAGCGGAAAGCUCGGUUAUUAGGUAAGAACAGAUGUGGAAGUAACUGUGCACAUCUUGACGGUACCUAAUCAGAAAGCCACGGCUAACUACGUG
rnacentral:rRNA from 1 species